UACGUAGGGCGCAAGCGUUGUCCGGAAUUACUGGGCGUAAAGAGCUCGUAGGUGGUUUGUCGCGUUGUUCGUGAAAUCUCACGGCUUAACUGUGAGCGUGCGGGCGAUACGGGCAGACUGGAGUACUGCAGGGGAGACUGGAAUUCCUGGUGUAGCGGUGGAAUGCGCAGAUAUCAGGAGGAACACCGGUGGCGAAGGCGGGUCUCUGGGCAGUAACUGACGCUGAGGAGCGAAAGCGUGGGGAGCGAACAGG
rnacentral:rRNA from 1 species